UACGUAGGGUGCGAGCGUUAAUCGGAAUUACUGGGCGUAAAGUGUGCGCAGGCGGCCAUGCAAGUCGAGUGUGAAAGCCCCGGGCUUAACUUGGGAAUUGCGCUCGAAACUACGUGGCUGGAGUGUGGCAGAGGAAGGUGGAAUUCCACGUGUAGCGGUGAAAUGCGUAGAGAUGUGGAGGAACACCAAUGGCGAAGGCAGCCUUCUGGGCCAACACUGACUCUGAUCUGCGAAAGCUAGGGGAGCAAACAGG
rnacentral:rRNA from 1 species